rnacentral:rRNA from 1 species
CCUACGGGUUGCAGCAGUGAGGAAUAUUGGUCAAUGGGCGUAAGCCUGAACCAGCCAAGCCGCGUGAGGGAAGAAGGUUCUAUGUAUCGUAAACCUCUUUUGUCAGGGAAUAAAGGCAGGGACGAGUCCCUGUUUGAAUGUACCUUAUGAAUAAGCAUCGGCUAACUCCGUGCCAGCAGCCGCGGUAAUACGGAGGAUCCGAGCGUUAUCCGGAUUUAUUGGGUUUAAAGGGUGCGUAGGCGGCCUGUUAAGUCAGCGGUGAAAGUCUGUGGCUCAACCACAGAAUUGCCGUUGAAACUGGGAGGCUUGAGUAUGUUUGAGGUAGGCGGAAUGCGUGGUGUAGCGGUGAAAUGCGUAGAUAUCA